GAACCAACCAUGAAAUUAUAGGAAGGGGCGUCCACACAAUGCAGCAUGGAAACCGAGCUCUUCUUGGAUCAAUGUGCAUAGUUGGUGAAACCCUUCCCUCAAUUGUCAUCACGUGCUCAGUGUCUUAACAGUGAAACUUCUCAUUUCCAAGUAAUAUGGGAUCACCACAUACUUUU